GAUAGAAUUCGGUUCUGGGAUGACUUGUGGUGAGGGGAUCAACCUUUGGGAGUCCAAUAUCCAAAAUUACUUAGCGUAGUCACGGAUAAAAAUGCUCCUAUUUCAUCAAUUAUUGGAUAUUCCCGUCCUUUCUCUUGGAAUUUCAAUUUUUGUCGAAAUCUUUUUGAUUCUGAGAUAGAAGAUUUAGAAGGCCUUAUGCGGUCUCUUGAUCGUCUACACAUAUCACCUUCGGUUCCGGAUAAGAGAUCCUGGUCCUUAUCUCCUUUAGGUCUUUUCACAGUCAAAUCUUUCUUUCUGGCCUUAUCCCAAUAUUCUGAGUCGCCUCCAGUUUUCCCUACCAAGUUUGUCUGGAAUUCUCAAGUCCCCUUCAAAGUCAAGUCCUUUGUCUGGUUGGUGGCUCACAAGAAGGUUAAUACUAAUGACUUGCUACAAUUGAGAAGACCCCACAAAGCACUUAGUCCCGACAUAUGUAAGUUGUGCAUGAAGCAUAGAGAAACAGUAGAUCACCUUUUCCUCCAUUGCUCUUUGACGAUGGGGUUGUGGUACAUAUUAUUUCAGUUAGCAAAGACGGAUUGGGUUUCCUCAAGGAGUAUCUCUGACAUGUUAUCUAAUAAUUUUAAUGGUUUUGGAUCUUCUAAGAGAGGG
rnacentral:lncRNA from 1 species